GCAGCGGCGGCACCGCGUCCGGUCCUCGAGCGUAUGGGGCUUUGUCACCCGCUCUGUAGGCCCGGCCGGCGCUUGCCGAUCAACCCAAAUUUUUAUCCAGGUUGACCUCGGAUCAGGUAGGGAUACCCGCUGAACUUAA
rnacentral:rRNA from 1 species